CAGCCUGCCCAGUGACAAAGUUAAACGGCCGCGGUACCCUAACCGUGCAAAGGUAGCGCAAUCACUUGUUCUUUAAAUGAGGACUAGUAUGAACGGCAUCACGAGGGUUAUGCUGUCUCCCCACUCUAUUCAGUGAAACUAAUCUCCCCGUGAAGAAGCGGGGAUAAAAAUAUAAGACGAGAAGACCCCAUGGAGCUUUAAACUCAGUAGCAACUGCCUAACUAAAAACCUAAUAUCCCGCAGCCAUGCCUACUAGUUUUCGGUUGGGGUGACCACGGAGUAAAACUAAACCUCCACGAUGAAAGGAAUUAAUAACCUAAACCACGAGCUACAGCUCUAAAUAUCAAUAAAUUGACUAAAUUGACCCAAUUACUUGAUCAACGAACCAAGUUACCCUGGGGAUAACAGCGCAAUCCAUUUCAAGAGCUCAUAUCGACAAAUGGGUUUACGACCUCGAUGUUGGAUCAGGGUAUCCCAGUGGCGCAGCCGCUACUAAUGGUCCGUUUGUUCAACGGUUAAA
rnacentral:rRNA from 1 species